UACGUAGGGUGCAAGCGUUGUCCGGAAUUAUUGGGCGUAAAGAGCUCGUAGGCGGCUCGUCACGUCGGCUGUGAAAACCCGGGGCUCAACCCGGGCCUGCAGUCGAUACGGGCGAGCUAGAGUUCGGCAGGGGAGACUGGAAUUCCUGGUGUAGCGGUGAAAUGCGCAGAUAUCAGGAGGAACACCGGUGGCGAAGGCGGGUCUCUGGGCCGAUACUGACGCUGAGGAGCGAAAGCGUGGGGAGC
rnacentral:rRNA from 1 species